rnacentral:rRNA from 1 species
CCCUUAGAUGUCCGGGGCCGCACGCGCGCUACACUGAAGGAGUCAGCGUGGCUUUCUCCCUGACCCGAAAGGGUUGGGAAACCCGUUGAAUCUCCUUCGUGAUAGGGAUUGGGGCUUGAAAUUGUUCCCCAUGAACGAGGAAUUCCCAGUAAGCGCGAGUCAUAAGCUCGCGUUGAUUACGUCCCUGCCCUUUGUACACACCGCCCGUCGCUCCUACCGAUUGAAUGCUCAGGUGAGCCAUUCGGACUUUCAUCAUGCUGGUUUCCAGUUUUGAUGAAGGAAAGUCUUGCGAACCUUAUCAUUUAGAGGAAGGAGAAGUCGUAACA